GCCAGGCAUGGUGGCGCGUGCCUGUAGUCCCAGCUACUUGGGAGGCUGAGGCAGGAAAAUUGCUUGAACCCAGGAGGUGGAGGUUGCAGUGAGCUGAGAUUGUGCCACUGUACCCCAGCCUGGGUGACAGAGUGAGACUCUGUCUCAA
rnacentral:SRP_RNA from 1 species